GAUGAACGCUGGCGGCGUGCCUAAUACAUGCAAGUCGAGCGAACAGACGAGGAGCUUGCUCCUCUGACGUUAGCGGCGGACGGGUGAGUAACACGUGGAUAACCUACCUAUAAGACUGGGAUAACUUCGGGAAACCGGAGCUAAUACCGGAUAAUAUAUUGAACCGCAUGGUUCAAUAGUGAAAGACGGUUUUGCUGUCACUUAUAGAUGGAUCCGCGCCGCAUUAGCUAGUUGGUAAGGUAACGGCUUACCAAGGCAACGAUGCGUAGCCGACCCGAGAGGGUGAUCGGCCACACUGGAACGGAGACACGGUCCAGACGCCUACGGGAGGCAGCAGUAGGGAAUCUUCCGCAAUGGUCGAAAGCCUGACGGAGCAACGCCGCGUGAGUGAUGAAGGUCUUCGGAUCGUAAAACUCUGUUAUUAGGGAAGAACAAAUGUGUAAGUAACUAUGCACGUCUUGACGGUACCUAAUCAGAAAGCCACGGCUAACUACGUG
rnacentral:rRNA from 1 species